rnacentral:rRNA from 1 species
UACGGAGGAGGCAAGCGUUAUCCGGAAUUAUUGGGCGUAAAGCGUCCGCAGGUGGCUAUUCAAGUCUGCGGUCAAAGACUGGGGCUUAACCCUGGAAAGGCCGUGGAAACUGAAGAGCUAGAGUGCAGUAGGGGUAGAGGGAAUUCCCGGUGUAGCGGUGAAAUGCGUAGAGCUCGGGAAGAACAUCGGUGGCGAAAGCGCUCUGCUGGACUGCAACUGGCACUCAGGGACGAAAGCUAGGGGAGCGAAUGGG